rnacentral:rRNA from 1 species
CUUAGUUACGAUUAAUAGGAGUAGCUUGGGGGCAUUUGUAUUCAGAUGUCAGAGGUGAAAUUCUUAGAUUUUCUGGAGACAAGCAACUGCGAAAGCAUUUGCCUAAAAUACUUCCAUUUAUCAAGAACGAAAGUUAAGGGAGUGAAGACGAUCAGAUACCGUCGUAAUCUUAACCAUAAACUAUGCCGACUAGGUGUUGGAUGAUAGAGUAAAAAAUAAAAGAGACAUUCAUAUAUAUGAGUGUUUCUUUUAGAUAGCUUCCUUCAGUACCUUAUGAGAAAUCAAAGUCUUUGGGUUCUGGGGCGAGUAUUCGCGCAAGCGAGAAAGUUAAAAGAAUUGACGGAAGGGCACCACCAGGCGUGGAGCUUGCGGCUUAAUUUGACUCAACACGGGGAAACUCACUAGUUUAAGACAAGAGUAGGAUUGACAGAUUAAUAGCUCUUUCUUGAUUUCUUGGAUGGUGAUGCAUGGCCGUUUUUAGUUCGUGAAUAUGAUUUGUCUGGUUAAUUCCGAUAACGAACGAGAUCUUAACCUGCUAAUUAGCGGUAAAUACACUAUAUUCUUAAGUGAAAUUAGAAUAUAGAUAAAUUGUGCUAAUUUUGAUUAAAAUAUUAGA